rnacentral:rRNA from 1 species
GAUGAACGCUGGCGGCGUGCCUAAUACAUGCAAGUCGAGCGAAUGGAUUAAGAGCUUGCUCUUAUGAAGUUAGCGGCGGACGGGUGAGUAACACGUGGGUAACCUGCCCAUAAGACUGGGAUAACUCCGGGAAACCGGGGCUAAUACCGGAUAACAUUUUGAACCGCAUGGUUCGAAAUUGAAAGGCGGCUUCGGCUGUCACUUAUGGAUGGACCCGCGUCGCAUUAGCUAGUUGGUGAGGUAACGGCUCACCAAGGCAACGAUGCGUAGCCGACCUGGGAGUGUGAUCGGCCACACAGGGACUGAGACACGGCCCAGACUCCUACGGGAGGCAGCAGUAGGGAAUCGUCCGCAAUGGACGAAAGUCUGACGGAGCAACGCCGCGUGAGUGGUGGAGGCUUUCGGGUCGUAAAACUCUGUUGUUAGGGAAGAACAAGUGCUAGUUGAAUAAGCUGGCACCUUGACGGUACCUAACCAGAAAGCCACGGCUAACUACGUGCCAGCCGCCGCAGUAA